rnacentral:rRNA from 1 species
UACAGAGGGGGCAAGCGUUGUUCGGAAUUACUGGGCGUAAAGGGCGCGUAGGCGGCCUGCUAAGUCGAACGUGAAAUCCCCGGGCUCAACCCGGGAACUGCGUCCGAUACUGGAAGGCUUGAAUCCGGGAGAGGGAUGCGGAAUUCCAGGUGUAGCGGUGAAAUGCGUAGAUAUCGAGAGGAACACCUGCGGCGAAGGCGGGUUGCUGGGCUGAUACUGACGCUGAGGCGCGAAAGCCAGGGGAGCGAACAGG